GAAAUGCGAUAAGUAAUGUGAAUUGCAGAAUUCAGUGAAUCAUCGAAUCUUUGAACGCACCUUGCGCUCCUUGGUAUUCCUUGGAGCAUGCCUGUUUGAGUAUCAUGAAAUCUUCAAAGUAAAUCUUUUGUUAACUCAAUUGGUUUCUACUUUGGUAUUGGAGGUCUUUGCAGCUUCACACCUGCUCCUCUUUGUUCAUUAGCUGGAUCUCAGUGUUAUGCUUGGUUCCACUCGGCGUGAUAAGUUAUCUAUCGCUGAGGACACUGUAAAAGGUGGCCAAGGUAAAUGCAGAUGAACCGCUUCUAAUAGUCCAUUGACUUGGACAAUACUUUUAUGAUCUGAUCUCAAAUCAGGUAGGACUCCCCGCUUAACUUAAGC
rnacentral:misc_RNA from 1 species